GACGAACGCUGGCGGCGUGCUUAACACAUGCAAGUCGAACGGAAAGGCCCUGCUUUUGUGGGGUGCUCGAGUGGCGAACGGGUGAGUAACAAGUGAGUAACCUGCCCUUGACUUUGGGAUAACUUCAGGAAACUGGGGCUAAUACCGGAUAGGAGCUCCUGCUGCAUGGUGGGGGUUGGAAAGUUUCGGCGGUUGGGGAUGGACUCGCGGCUUAUCAGCUUGUUGGUGGGGUAGUGGCUUACCAAGGCGUUGACGGGUAGCCGGCCUGAGAGGGUGACCGGCCACAUUGGGACUGAGAUACGGCGCAGACUCCUACGGGAGGCAGCAGUGGGGAAUAUUGCACAGUGGGCGGAAGCCUGAUGCAGCAACGCCGCGUGCGGGAUGACGGCCUUCGGGUUAUGAACCGCUUUCGCCUGUGACGAAGCGUGAGUGACGGUAAUGGGUAAAGAAGCACCGGCUAACUACGUG
rnacentral:rRNA from 1 species